UGAAUUGUAUUGUGGGAAUGUAUUACCAACAGAGGUGCAGGUGUCAGCCAUUUGAAAGAAAGCAUCAAUGAGGGUGAGAGUCCUGUUUGUCAUGUGCAGCCUUCUGUGCACGGUGUAUAUUUGCUGAGUCACACUCCUUGGCAUUGGAAUGCAAAGUGGGUGGUAAGUUUCAUGCAAAGGUAAAUAUGCAAUUGAGACUGAUAGCGCACAAGUACCAUGAGGGACAUAUGAAAAGGACUUUGAAAAGAGAAUUAAAUGAGUUUGUAUUUGCUAAACACAAAGUAAACAGACUUGAUUUCCUCAGUGAGAUUGUAGUGCUUGCUUAACAAUGGGUUUUGGCUGCAAGUGCAAUAAUUCUUGCUUUGUGUGCCAGUUUUUAUGUGGACAUUUGAUUACCUUUGCACAUGAAUGGUAAUUUUCCUGCGGGGUGUGGAUUGCAUAUGCAUGUAAUGAUUUGCAUGUUUGUUAAAUGUGUCUGGUGUAUUUGUUUGUGUCCUUGUCCUUGAGGUUGCUUUCUCCCUUGGGCUUACAUGCCCUGGCA
rnacentral:rRNA from 1 species